rnacentral:rRNA from 1 species
AUGGCCCAUCUCCUCUCGGGAUGCCCGUUCACUAGGCAGGUAUUGACCAUCCCUUCCGCGGACGCCCCCUUCAUCGACUGGCUUGCUUCUUCGGCCGCCAGCACCCCCUCCUGCUUGCGCCGUGGCUUUACUACGCUUGCACUGCUCAUUGCCUGGGAGAUCUGGAAGCAGCGCAAUGCUUGCGUCUUAGAUGCCGCCCGGCCGUCCAUCUCCAGGACCUUGGCGACGAUCAUGGAGGAAGCUCGCUGCUGGGCCCACGCGGGCGCCUUAGGACUGUGCAGCAUUUUGCCCGAGGGGUAG